rnacentral:rRNA from 1 species
UACACAUGCAANUCGAGUGCGCGUCUGUAGCAAUACAGAUGGCGCACGGCGCACGGGUGCGUAACACGUGGGUAAUCUGCCCUUCGAUGGGGAAUAACUCCGGGAAACCGAAGCUAAUUCCGCAUAACAUUCCUUGGACCUCGGUCUGGGGACUCAAAGCCGUAAGGCGUCGGAGGAGGAACCCGCGCACGAUUAGUUAGUUGGCAGGGUAACGGCCUACCAAGACUUUGAUCGUUAGCUGGUCUGAGAGGAUGGCCAGCCACACUGGAACUGAGACACGGUCCAGACUCCUACGGGAGGCAGCAGUGGGGAAUCUUGCGCAAUGGCCGAAAGCCUGACGCAGCGACGCCGCUUGUAGGAUGAAGCAUUUCCUGUGUAAACUCCUUUCCAUUGUGACGAAUACCUCGCAAUAGGGGUGACGGUACUAUUUAUAAACACCCCGGUUUAUGUACUUCCCCACCGCCGCGUUAAUAACANCCCGAAUUCUUGUUUGUU